CUAUCAGCUUUGGAUGGUAGGAUAUGGGCCUACCAUGGCAUUAACGGGUAACGGGGAAUUAGGGUUUGAUUCCGGAGAGGGAGCCUUAGAAACGGCUACCACAUCCAAGGAAGGCAGCAGGCGCGUAAAUUACCCAAUCCUGAUACAGGGAGGUAGUGACAAGAAAUAACAAUGCCGGGCUUUAUUAAGUCUGGCAAUUGGAAUGAGAACAAUUUAAAUCCCUUAACGAGGAUCAAUUGGAGGGCAAGUCUGGUGCCAGCAGCCGCGGUAAUUCCAGCUCCAAUAGCGUAUAUUAAAGUUGUUGCAGUUAAAAAGCUCGUAGUUGGAUUUCUGGUUCAUGAAAGCUGUACCUUUCUUUACGGAAAGGGACAUUUUCGGGACCUUUUUUGUGAGGAGUAUCUGUUGUCAUUAAGUUGUCGUCAGAUUCGACUUGCAUCGUUUACUGUGAAAAAAUUAGAGUGUUUAAAGCAGGCGUUAUCGCACAUUGUAUACAUUAGCAUGGAAUAAUAAGAUACGACCUAGGCGGUCUAUUUUGUUGGUUUACACGCCGGGUAAUG
rnacentral:rRNA from 2 species